AUGUGUGAUACCCGCCCCGCCCUGACAGUGCUGCCCCCCUCCAACAAGGAGCUGGAGAAUGGGAAGGCCACGCUCAUGUGUGUGGCCAACAAGGGCUUCCCCUCAGACUGGAGUCUGUCCUGGAAGACGAGCGACAGCAGUGGCAGCAGCAGCAUCAGAGGGGAGGAGAGCAGGACUCCUGGAGUGCUGCAGAAUGACGGCCUCUACAGCUGGAGCAGCACCCUGACGCUCACUGCAGACCAGUGGGGGAAGGUGGGCUCUGUGACCUGUGAGGCCACCCAGGGCUCCCAGACUCUGGUCUCAGAGAUACUGAGGAGAGACCAGUGUUCCCAGUCCUGA